CUCUCUUGUAUUAAUAGUUCAUUUGUCACUUAACAGAUUUAUUUAUCUUGUAAAGACUCUAGAAAUAUUGAGCUUGGUCUGGUUCUUGUAAAUGAAAAUGAUCACAUAAAUGAAGGCAGAUGGAAGAGGUUGGAAGGGAUAAAUCGCAGGCAGGUGGAAUUCGAGGCAUUAAAAAUUGCGCCAAACCUUAGAUCUAAAGAUAAUUUGUAACGUUCUUAAAUUAAUCUGUCGAUAUAGUACAAUUAAAAUCCUCGACUUACAUGUACAUAUAUAAUGUGUAUGUGUACGCGUGUCUGUGUAGUCUCGUGACAUAUGUAUAUGCAUAUAGCUAUAGUAUAUCUCAUCGUAACAACAGAUUUAUAAUUUAUUUUAUUAUUUGUUAUUUAACAAAUAUCUCAUGAAACGAUAGUAAAGGUACAAUGGCGGCUGGUUAAUUAUGGCUGUUUUAUAGAUUGAGAAAUAAACGUGGCUAACAUUUUAUGUACUCAA